GGCAGGAACAACAGCGAUGAGUAAAGCUCAAGUUCUCCUUUAUGAGCCCCUCAUCUAACGACCGCAUUUGAUUACAGUCAGUCUCAGAGUUGAGGAACUUUUUACAGGAUUACUGCCAGUUUCCUCCAGCACACACACACACACACACACACACACACACACUGCUGGAUGCUGGAGCGUCUCUGUGAAAGCGGAGUGGGCUGAGGCUAUAAUGAGAGCGGUAUGAAGGGAUGAUGUUGAAGACUGGCCGAGCCAGACAGGGAUAAACAGUGGGGAGUUUCCUUCAGAUUCUACCACCGCUCUUCUGGUUUGUCUCUGUUAGGCAGUUCAUUCUGCUUUGAUCCUGGAGAAGUUAAAAGAGGCUAAAAAAGCCUCGCUGGACCCCAUGACUAUCCUCCUGGCGUGGAUCACUGGACAUUUCAGAACAGCAAGCAAUAUUACGACUGGAGAAUUACAGUGCUUCUUAGGAGUUUGUGAGGCUUAUGGAUUUCCCAUCACCCCAGACUGCACUUUAUUUUGCAAGAAUGUGAUGCGGUCUGUUUGACCCAUCCUUGUUUCAAGAAAAUGACUUAAUUUAGCGAUAUGAGAAACAUCAGACAGAGAGAAAAGCCAAAUGGAGGACGUCAUAGGAAAUGGGUUUUCAUAAAACAUCCUUCACAGGCAUUUUGACAUGAUUACACAUGACUAAUGAUUUCUUCAAAUGACUUAAUCAGGUUCACUCGUCUUGGGAGGCAAGUAAAUGCAGAAAUGAAGGGUUGCAUAGGCCUGCUAAACUGUAAAACCUAAACCAGCCAACAUGGAAGUGAUUCAGAUUGCAUGUUUACUGCUACAUGUCUUAUUACAAAAUAGCUAUGAUUUUCCUGACUUGUACCAUGGUAAUACUGUGGUAUUCUUAAAGUACCAUGCAAAUGCAAUUUAUGGUU